UGCUUUAAAUCCCUUAGUGAAAAAUAUUCAGUGACAUCUAAACUUACUACAGUCUUCCCCUCACACACCAUACAUUGGUAAUUGUCCCAUGUAGCUUGAAAUUUUGGUAGUCUUGAAAACCUUUAGUUAUUUCUAAAAAAUCAGCAUAACUUUUAGAUCUUUGGGAGAGUUUUUCUUUCAAGUUAAUAACACAUUCUAGGGCUGAAAAUUGAGAAUACAUAAAAAGAGUAGGUUUUGCUCGAGCACAGGAAUAAAACCAUUUUUAACAUUCAUUGUCCCUUACAGAUAUUUUUUGUUGCACUAGUCAAACUCUCAAGGAAAUAUUUCUCAAACAUGAUUCAUAUCACACUAUCUGACAUUUUUCUUCUUAAAUUGAAAUAGUUGUAAAGGAAUCAAUAGUAGGAGAAUAUAAAAUAUAUUUAAGGAAAGUGUUUUCCAUUUUAUUCCUACCUAUAUCUUAACUCACAACACCUCAACAUGGAUGAAUACGCCACUUUUCUAAAUGCCAGGCUUCACUUUACUAGAGAUAGAUCAGAUAGAUGAUAGAUAGAAAGGUAGAUAGAUUGGUAGAUAGAUAGAUUAGAUAGAUAGAUAGAUAGAUAGAUAGAUAGAUAGAUAGACAGACAGAGAAAGAGAGAGAGAGAGAAAUGUAGAUGGAACAUGAAGAAUGAGAAACUUUAGACUGAAAUAUUGAAUUAUCGUUAGAUAGCCUUGCUAUUUGUUACUCCAGAAGUAAUCCACCACAGGAUAAUGCACUACAUUAAGAUUUUGAAUGAUGCCAUUCUUUUGGGAACAAAAAAGUGUAUCCUGAGUAUAGAUAAAUUUUUCAGCGACAUCGCUUUAGAAAAGUUCACAUGAAAAUUGAGUUGCUGAAAAUUGAUUCCUUUAAAACUGUCGAUGCUAAAAUUCUCCUUGGCAAUCUUUUAACCACCCAGAGGAAAAUGAGUUCCCUAAUGUACAAAAGCAUACUGAAACCCAUCUUUUUGCCACUGUAAGAAUUUUCACUUUAUCAGAUCUCUAUGUGUCUUCUGCAUCAUCCAUCCCUUUUCUCUUCUGGCUCAUAUUAAUCAGCAUAAAUAGAUCUUCUAAUAUAGGAAUAUAACACGUCUUCCUCAACUUCCAAAACAGAAAAACUGAUAAGAUCCUUUUUGUCAAUCUCCAUUUUCAUUCAGCCACAAUUAUUUAGGAUGUAAAUUGCUUCUCAAUGUAUUUUGUCAUUGCAAAGACACACUUCUAAGCCUUCCAGCGGUAAUAUUAAAAAUGCUGGUAUUACGACCUGAAAUCAGGGAAUAUAUGUAUGGAUUUGUUACAUGAAUAUUUUGUGUAAUCCUGGGGUUUGGACUUCUAUUGAACACACCGGCCAAAUAGUAAACAUAAUACCCAGUAGGUAGUUUUUAGUCCUUGUCCCCCUUCUUCUUUACCGCUUUUUGGAGUCUCUACUGUUGAUUAGUGGUUGAUUAAAUCCAUACACAGGAAUCCACAAACACAAAAGGCAAACUGUAUUCUAGGUUACCAAAACACCAUGGCUCUCAUCUUGCUAGCAUUUUCUUACACAUUCUCUCUUGCUUGCUGUGCUGAACCCAGCUGCCAUGUGUUUCCUGCCCUAUGGAGAGGUACAUGCUGCAAA
rnacentral:lncRNA from 10 species